rnacentral:rRNA from 1 species
UCGGGGCAGGGUGAGUCGACCCCUAAGGCGAGGCCGAAAGGCGUAGUCGAUGGGAAACAGGUUAAUAUUCCUGUACUUGGUGUUACUGCGAAGGGGGGACGGAGAAGGCUAUGUUAGCCGGGCGACGGUUGUCCCGGUUUAAGCAUGUAGGCUGAUUAUCCAGGCAAAUCCGGAUAAUCAAGGCUGAGGUGUGAUGACGAGGCACUACGGUGCUGAAGUAACAAAUGCCCUGCUUCCAGGAAAAGCCUCUAAGCAUCAGGUAACAUCAAAUCGUACCCCAAACCGACACAGGUGGUCAGGUAGAGAAUACCAAGGCGCUUGAGAGAACUCGGGUGAAGGAACUAGGCAAAAUGGUGCCGUAACUUCGGGAGAAGGCACGCUGGUGUGUAGGUGAAG